rnacentral:rRNA from 1 species
AGCGAACGCUGGCGGCAGGCUUAACACAUGCAAGUCGAGCGGGCACUUUCGGGUGUCAGCGGCGGACGGGUGAGUAACGCGUGGGAACGUGCCCUCUGGUUCGGAAUAACUCAGGGAAACUUGAGCUAAUACCGGAUACGCCCUUUUGGGGAAAGGCUUGCUGCCGGAGGAUCGGCCCGCGUCUGAUUAGCUAGUUGGUGAGGUAACGGCUCACCAAGGCGACGAUCAGUAGCUGGUCUGAGAGGAUGAUCAGCCACACUGGGACUGAGACACGGCCCAGACUCCUACGGGGGGCAGCAGUGGGGAAUAUUGGACAAUGGGCGCAAGCCUGAUCCAGCCAUGCCGCGUGAGUGAUGAAGGCCCUAGGGUUGUAAAGCUCUUUUAUCCGGGACGAUAAUGACGGUACCGGAGGAAUAAGCCCCGGCUAACUUCGUG